rnacentral:rRNA from 1 species
GAUCCUGGCUCAGGAUGAACGCUAGCUACAGGCCUAACACAUGCAAGUCGAGGGGCAGCAUUUUAGUUUGCUUGCAAACUGAAGAUGGCGACCGGCGCACGGGUGAGUAACACGUAUCCAACCUGCCGAUAACUCCGGGAUAGCCUUUCGAAAGAAAGAUUAAUACCGGAUAGCAUACGAAUAUCGCAUGAUAUUUUAUAAAGAUUUCGGUUAUCGAUGGGGAUGCGUUCCAUUAGUUUG